rnacentral:rRNA from 1 species
AUGAUCAGAGAUGGUUCCCCUUCACCCUCGCCCGACGCGAACCCUGAGCAAGCAGCGGAAGCGGUUGAAGCGAAGGGAAAUCGAGGGGUCGCUAGUUCUUCAUCUCGGGCAGGUCUUCUUUUGCCCAAUUACGAGUUCGGAUGGCAUAUAUGCUUGUUCGUAGGCAGCAACCGCAAUGUUGACAUUAUGGCCUCAGUUCGCUCUCAAUACCGAAGAACAUGUUCUCUCUGUGCCAUUCUAAGUACUGCCGAGCAAGACAUCCUCAGAAACUUAGCUCUCGAAGAGCCCGACCGGCAGCCAGACAUCUAUUUUGAUUGUGACACAUAUCAAGUUCAGUAUGAGAUCGAUGUAGGUGCUGAAUAUGGUAGGGAAGCCUUCUCCAGCAUACAAGACAGGCCGGUACGGUUACUAAACAUCUUCCAGAGAGAUGGAGUGAGGGCAUACUCCAGGUCAAGAGAAUGGUCUGGUGGGAAGAUGAUUAAGAUCUCAAAUGUCAGGUGGUAUACAUAUCUGACAUUUCGUGACUUCGAGAAUAUUAUAGCCAAUGGCCGUCCAAUUGUUGGUGGUUUCCCGAUUGGUGAUGAGUUCGAGAAUCUAGGCCCGGAAGAAAUCUAUGAAUUCAGCCCAGUCCAUAUAGUAAGACAGCCAGCUGGUUUUCACAUGGUUUUAUUUGUUGGUACCGGCAGCAAAGACGGAAGAGAGUUUGUAGCUUUCUUGAACUCCAAGGGAGACCGUUUUGGGAAGAAAGGUGUCGGUAAAGUAUAUUUCGAUCAACUUAUCAGGUGUUUUUACACAUUAGAGUGCCGUGCUCCGCCACCACCUCUUCCCUCUGGCAGUUCAGACCUUGUGGUCGCUGGCCCUGGUGAUAAUGAUGAUACCCUGGGUUCAUCUGGUACUGCCUCUGAUGUCAACAACAUGUCGAGCUUCUCCAAUGCCCCUGAUGGCGAUAAUGCCCAGAGCUCUACUUCUCCCACUCAAAGUUUGUCCCAGGCUGGCAAAAGUAACAAAUACGACGAUGAUCCAGUCUCUUCUUCUUGUGCCAUUGAAACAGAGAGACAAGUCACUCGUGUUGAUGGUUGGGCUCCAACUGCACCAGCGGUGCUGAAUGAGGAUGUCCAAACCGGCAGAUGUGCACUUGUUGUAAAGGCUGAAAGGAUGUUAAAAGAACUCAAAGGUGCUCUCCCUGUAUUUCUCUUUUGUGUUUUAACACAGAGGAGGAACUGUGAUAUUUAUGGGCCAUGGAGGAAGAAGAAACUUCAUGAGAUGGGUUUUGUUCCUAGUAAUAAGAUGAAUGGUCUGUAUUUUACCAAUGUUCUUCUCAAGAUCAGUGAUAAGGUACAUAUAAAUGUCUCCAUCUAA